GGAGGGGUUCCCGAGUGGCCAAAGGGGGCAGACUGUAAAUCUGUUGGCGCCGCCUACGCUGGUUCGAAUCCAGCCCCCUCCACCA
rnacentral:tRNA from 1 species